GCCGCGUGUGUGAAGAAGGCCUUCGGGUUGUAAAGCACUUUCAGUCGUGAGGAAGGUAGUGUAGUUAAUAGCUGCAUUAUUUGACGUUAGCGACAGAAGAAGCACCGGCUAACUCCGUGCCAGCAGCCGCGGUAAUACGGAGGGUGCGAGCGUUAAUCGGAAUUACUGGGCGUAAAGCGCAUGCAGGUGGUUUGUUAAGUCAGAUGUGAAAGCCCGGGGCUCAACCUCGGAAUUGCAUUUGAAACUGGCAGACUAGAGUACUGUAGAGGGGGGUAGAAUUUCAGGUGUAGCGGUGAAAUGCGUAGAGAUCUGAAGGAAUACCGGUGGCGAAGGCGGCCCCCUGGACAGAUACUGACACUCAGAUGCGAAAGCGUGGGGAGCAAACAGGAUUAGAUACCCCGGUA
rnacentral:rRNA from 1 species